ACCUACGGGGGGCAGCAGUAGGGAAUCUUCCACAAUGGGCGAAAGCCUGAUGGAGCAACGCCGCGUGGGUGAAGAAGGUCUUCGGAUCGUAAAACCCUGUUGUUAGAGAAGAAAGUGCAUGAGAGUAACUGUUCACGUUUCGACGGUAUCUAACCAGAAAGCCACGGCUAACUACGUGCCAGCAGCCGCGGUAAUACGUAGGUGGCAAGCGUUAUCCGGAUUUAUUGGGCGUAAAGGGAACGCAGGCGGUCUUUUAAGUCUGAUGUGAAAGCCUUCGGCUCAACCGGAGUAGUGCAUUGGAAACG
rnacentral:rRNA from 1 species